rnacentral:lncRNA from 1 species
AUAGCACACAGGCCAAAUACUCAAGAAUCUUUCAUGCUAGCAAGCCAAGCAACUCAAGUUUAUAAUGUUGGAUCAUCUAAAAAUCCUACUUGGAGCUCUGAGGUUGAAACCAAGCCUAGAAAUCUUUUCGAGAUGCCCAUGAAAGAGGAGGAAUCAUACCAAGAAGAAGAGAUUUAGAUACACAAUGCACAAGUUGUCCAAGCUGGUGAUGGAGAUGAUGAGC